rnacentral:rRNA from 1 species
CCUACGGGAGGCAGCAGUGAGGAAUAUUGGUCAAUGGACGAGAGUCUGAAGCAGCCAAGUCGCGUGAAGGAUGACUGCCCUCUGGGUUGUAAACUUCUUUUAUCUGGGAAUAAAAUGUUCCACGUGUGGGAUUUUGUAUGUACCAUAUGAAUAAGGAUCGGCUCACUCCGUGCCAGCAGCCGAGGUAAUACGGAGGAUACGAGCGUUAUCCGGAUUUGAUGGGUGUAAAGGGAGCGUAGGUGGAUUGUUAAGUCAGUUGUGAAAGUUUGCGGCUCAACCGGAAAAUUGCAGUUGACACUGGCAGUCUUGAGUACAGUAGAGGUGGGUGGAAUUCGAUGUGUAGCGGUGAAAUGCUUAGAUAUCUCGAAGAACUCCGAUUGCGAAGGCAGUUCCCUGGACUGCAACUGACACUGAGGCUCGAAAGUGUGGGUAUCAAACAGGAUUAGAUACCCCAGUAGUC